rnacentral:rRNA from 1 species
GAUUAGCUGGUUGGUGGGGUAAUGGCCCACCAAGGCAACGAUCCGUAGCUGUCUGAGAGGAUGAUCAGCCACACUGGGACUGANACACGGCCCNNACUCCUACGGGAGGCAGCAGUGGGAAUAUUGGACAAUGGGCGCAAGCCUGAUCCAGCAAUACCGCGUGUGUGAAGAAGGCCUGCGGGUUGUAAAGCACUUUCAGAAGAAGCACCGGCUAACUCCGUGCCAGCANCCCGGUAAUACGGAGGGUGCNAGCGUUAAUCGGAAUUACUGGGCGUAAAGCGCGCGUAGGCGGUUGAUUAAGUCAGAUUGAAAGCCCCGGGCUCNNCCUGGGUGCAUUUGAAACUGGUCANCUNGAGUCUNNGGGGGGUAGAAUUCCGGGUGUAGNGG